GAUGAACGCUGGCGGCGUGCCUAACACAUGCAAGUCGAACGAGAUGCGUAUUGGAAAGCUUCGGCCGGAAGAUGCGUUAUCUAGUGGCGGACGGGUGAGUAACACGUGGGUAACCUGCCUUAUGGAGGGGGAUAACAGAGAGAAAUCACUGCUAAUACCGCAUAAGCACACAUUGCCGCAUGGCAGAGUGUGAAAAGAUUUAUCGCCAUAAGAUGGACCCGCGUCUGAUUAGCCAGUUGGCAGGGUAAAAGCCUACCAAAGCAACGAUCAGUAGCCGAUCUGAGAGGAUGACCGGCCACAUUGGGACUGAGACACGGCCCAAACUCCUACGGGAGGCAGCAGUGGGGAAUAUUGCACAAAUGGGGGAAAACCCCUGAUGCAAGGCGACGCCCGCGUGAAGUGAAGAAAGUAAUUCGGUAAGUAA
rnacentral:rRNA from 1 species